rfam:Ovis aries breed Texel chromosome 1, whole genome shotgun sequence.
UCCCUAGUGGUCCAGUGGUUAAGACUAUGCGCUCCCAAUGCAGGGGGCCCAGGUUUAAUCCCUGGUCAGGGAA